rnacentral:lncRNA from 1 species
GGUUGAAGGCUGAGAGGGAAUAGCUCAGUAGCUUCUUGCUUGGUGUCCCACACGAAGACACCCAAAGCAUCGAACUGGGUUUCUGCAGUUUGCCUUGAAGUGAUCUGAGCUCCCACAUCUAAAGUAGGUGCCCUUUUUAAAGGGCUUGGGCUUGACAAGAGGCAUAGAGGGAGAAGUGGAGGGACUUGUACUGAUGGAGUGGUUUACCUUUGUUUCAGGAAGCAAUUGGCUUUUUUUUUGGCUUCUGGUUAGUGGGUCGGCUGCUCAAACUGCUCUCACAUGAGCACAACCAGCUAC